rnacentral:rRNA from 1 species
UCCAGAGGUGGCAAGCGUUGUUCGGAAUUACUGGGCGUAAAGGGCGCGUAGGCGGUCUUCUAAGUCUUGUGUGAAAUCCCUCGGCUCAACUGAGGAACUGCACGGGAUACUGGAAGACUUGAGUUCGGGAGAGGUGAGUGGAACUGCGAGUGUAGAGGUGAAAUUCGUAGAUAUUCGCAAGAACACCAGUGGCGAAGGCGGCUCACUGGCCCGAUACUGACGCUGAGGUGCGAAAGCGUGGGGAGCAAACAGG